rnacentral:rRNA from 1 species
AGAGUUUGAUCAUGGCUCAGAUUAAACGCUGGCGGCAUGCCUUACACAUGCAAGUCGAACGGCAGCACGGGGGCAACCCUGGUGGCGAGUGGCGGACGGGUGAGUAAGCAUCGGAACGUAUCCUGGAGUGGGGAUAACGUAGCGAAAGUUACGCUAAUACCGCAUAUUCUGUGAGCAGGAAAGCAGGGGAUCGCAAGACCUUGCGCUCUGGGAGCGGCCGAUGUCGGAUUAGCUAGUUGGUGAGGUAAAGGCUCACCAAGGCGACGAUCUGUAGCGGGUCUGAGAGGAUGAUCCGCCACACUGGAACUGAGACACGGUCCAGACUCCUACGGGAGGCAGCAGUGGGGAAUUUUUGGACAAUGGGGGCAACCCUGAUCCAGCCAUGCCGCGUGAGUGAAGAAGGCCUUCGGGUUGUAAAGCUCUUUCGGCCGGGAAGAAAUCGCAUGGGUUAAUACCCUGUGCGGAUGACGGUACCGGCAUAAGAAGCACCGGCUAACUACGUG